rnacentral:lncRNA from 1 species
CUUGAACCAUUAACAACCAUUAUUAAAAACCAGGGCAAUGAGGAGGCAAAGGUGUCAGGUGCAGACAUUGUUAGACCCCCGAAAACUCAAGUAUCCGGGGUCUCAGGCCAGGUUCGCGGUCACCCCAAUCACCAGGCGGAUUCGAGAGCUUGCUGCAAACUGCACGAGGCUUUAUUGUAAUUUAACGAACUAACCCCAUGUUAGCUCGGGUCUUUCACCCACCCGCCAUGGCAGACGGCUAGAAAAAGACGGCUCCUAAGGGCUCCCAAAAGAUCUUAUAGGGCAGCGUAAGGGGAGUGUCUAGGGGUACGCACAGGCUCAUGAUUGGUGUGCUUCCAGGCUUGGAGGGCUUGCCCUGUGUUGAUUGGUCAACUGGUUGUUAUGGCUCAUAGGCCCUCCCAGGGUGGUUGCUAUGCUCUCUACGUCAUUGCUGUGCGCUUGUCCAUAAAGCACACCCAGGGUCGUAAAGCAUAGCGCCACCAGCUAACUUCUGAUUGGUUCCUUGUCACAAGACAGGCAUCUGACUUCUACGUGACCAAGGCAGGUUUAUGGCAAGCACGUGUUCGGCUGUUAUGGCUGCCAAAAGGGAAGCCGGUUCCUUCAACAUGACUUUACACACACUCUUGAGCUGGAAUUCAUUUUUGAUGAAACCUCUACAUGGCAACAGAGAAACCAGAAAGAAAGAUGCAGUCUCUGCCCUUCUGGAUCUCCAACUACCGCCCAGGAGACGAGCCAACCCCUCCUCUUCCUUACAAGGGGUCAUGUCUGCACACCUGAAGCUACACUCCUAGGAUGCAGCUACCACCGCAAGUCCACUGGUGAAAUAAGAUGCCACUACAACUCUCCACAUUUAAGGUGUUUUUUUUUUUGUUUUUGUUUUUUGUUUUUGUAUCAGGAUUUUGUUGCAGUCAUGAAGAAACAAUUUAAUAUCUCCUACAGUAUAAGUUCUGUU